ACGCACACAGAGGAGAGAGAGAGAGAGAGAGAGAGAGAGAGAGAGAGAGAGAGAGAGAGAGAGAGAGAGACUAUAAAGGAGAAAAAGGAAAAUGUUAUUUAGCAGUAAAUAGUUAUUUGAACUGAAGUUCCCACAUGAUUUCCCAAACAACAUGAAUAAUUUAGUUUGAAAUGUUAGAAUGAUACGGGUUAUGUUGUAAUAGUUGUUGGUAAAUUAUUGCCCUAAUCCGAGAAGUCGCUUCUACUUAGGACGGUAACCCAUAGCAAAAUUUGCAACUCUUGGGAUAUCGUGUUCUGCUUUUCUUCUAGGAGACUCAUGGCUGGAACACUGUAAGUGCUGGAUGCCUGGUUUGGUCAGCAGUGUAGCAGAGGUCCACUUCAUUUUCUACAGGCCUCGGAGACCCUCACACAUCAAGGACCCACAUGCUCUGUGCGCUUCUUUCUGAGAGCUGGUCCUCUCGUCCCGCCUUCACGUCUCAGAGCUGCGCGCACAUUUCCAGGGUCUGCAAAGAAAGCAAGGCUUUCCAGAACCCAGGAUAAGCUGUCAAUUUUGCAGGGCAGAUCUGUUACUCCUUGGAAUUUAUGCCCUAUGGGAUGAGUGCUCUACACAGAAUUUUGAAAGCUGACAGCUCAGUGUUGGCAGCUGAGUUUUGACAUUCACGCUGUUAUCAAAACUCCCUCCAACAGCUGACACUGUAGGUAUGUGGCAGUUAAGCCUUCUGUGAGGCAUGUUUAUCUAGCAGGAAAAAAGCUGUCAGCCCCUUAUUAUUCUAUUAUCCUGAGCAUUUCAGCUGCCUUUAUGUUAAUCAACUAAAAUGAACACGUUUUUGAGAUAUCUGCAAAGACAGGGCCAAUAAAAAGCCAGGGUUAGGAUUAUAGUCUUCUCGACACGAGGCUCAGUGCGGAACCGAGGCCUGUUUGCUUCAAAAGAUUUGUUUGGAAAAUUUACCUGUGGUUCUGAGAAACGUAGAAGUAAUAUGAGUUCACAGAGUUCACUGUUCUCAUGAAUCUCACAUACAGUCCUUUCCCUGUGGAUUUAGAGGAAAUAAACGCUCUAUAUUUAUGUAAGAUAGAGCUCAUAUAAUUAGAAAUGCUGAUACCUGAAAAAUACAUUCUGUCCAGAUAAAGAUAAGUUGAAAUGUUUGAAAAGGGAUACUGUGACCCUCAAUCUGAAUCCUGUUACAUGUUGAAACAAAUCACAGUUUGAUAAGUGAAAGGGGGAUUAGAAUUCUUUUGAGGAAGUGGGAGUAGGAAGGAUCGAAGACAUUACUUCUGAUACAAAUUAUUUUUGUUAGUGGAAAAACACAAGCAACCUACUAAUGAUAAAAAGAAUUUAUCUUUUAGUAAGAAUGUAAUUGCCUUCCCACCCUAGGAACAUGCAAAAUAUACAUGAGUAUGCACACACAUACAUACAUUUACACACACCUACACACAGUCUUACAUACACAGUUACACACACUCUUACACAGUGCUACACACAUAGAAUUUUCACACACGCACUUUUACACUUAUACAUAUACAUAUUCUUACACACAUGCACACUCUUACAACUCUCUUAGACACAUACACAUAUUUAUACUUACAUACUCUUGCACAUACUUUUACAUACAUACAUACUUACACACUCUUACACACAUGCACACUCUUACACACACUUUCUUAGACACACAAUUUUAUACUUACGUGCUCUUGCAAUACUCUUAUAUACAUACACACUUACACACUCUUACACGCAUACACACUCUAACACACUCUUAGACAUGCACACACCUUUAUACUUACAUAUUCUCGCACAUACAAUACAGUUUUACACACAUACCUGUACUCUUACACACACACACACUCUUACUCAUCUUUAUUAACUAACAAAUCAACACAGAGACACAAAAACUUAGCCUCAUCAAAGAAUGCAGCAAAGAGCCCUAUCAUACCCUAUAAUCCUGAAAAAGCACAAUGUGUCUCAAAAAUAAUUAACACACCCACUGAGAAUCUGAUGUUCUUCUGUACUGGGAACUUAGUGUGAUGAAAUGGCUUUGAAAUGGAUCGUGCCAUAUUCCCGUAUACCCCAAACCAAACAGACAGUCCAUCCAGUAAAUAAAACUGUAAAUGCUCAGUGAAAUGGCAUGAAGUAUAUUUAGGAGAUAUAAUGUAUUUUCUUAUGAAGCUGCCUUGCAGACAGCAAUCUUGAACUAAGCAGUGCCCUCUCUAGUCUGAGCUAGAGGCUAGGUUUUAAGUGGAUGUAUUAAUGACUUUCCUCAUCACUGACAAAAAACAACCCAAGAAAGGAAGGUGUACUUUGACUCAGGGUUUAAGGGAUCCAUUCUUUUGAAGCAGGAUAGUCAUGUCAGCAGGAAAAGGUGUAUAGCAAGGAUGUGAGGUGGACUGAGGCAGGGGAUAGAAAGCAGGGACAACAGACCUCAGGCUGAGAUCCACCCAUCAAGGUCUAUUCCAUGAGAGACCCUUCUCCAGCUGGUCCCCACCUUGUUUCUAGAAACUUGGUAACAGAACCAUCUGUGGGAGAGCCACGUUUUUAACUCACAUGCCUAUGUAGGAAAUUUUAUAUGUACACCUUGACAGUGACUUCGCAAGGGAAUUAAUAAUAACUUACAGCAAUAAUAGAAUGUAAUACUAUUACAUUCUAUAAAUAUAAUAAAGAAUACUUAAAGAGUGUGUGUAUUAGCUGUGGUGUGGUUUUAAGCCCUGUGUGUGUGUGUGUCUGCAUGUGUGUGUGUGUGAAUAUGGGUGUGUGUGAAUAUGGGUGUGUGUGUGAAUGUGUAUUUAUUGUGUGUGAGUGUGUGAGUGUGUGUGAAUGUGUGUGUGAGUGUGUGUGUGAAUGUGUGUGUGUGAGUGUGUAUGAAUGUGUAUGUGUGUGUGUGUCUGCAUGUGUGUGUGAAUAUGGGUGUGUGUGCGUGUGUGUGAGUGUGUGUGAAUGUGUGUGUGAGUGUGUGUGAAUGUGUAUGUGUGUGUGAGUGUGUGUGUCUGCAUGUGUGUGUGAAUAUGGGUGUGUGUGUGCGUGUGUGUGUGAAUGUGUGUGUGAGUGUGUGUGUGAGUAUGUGUGUGUCUCCAUGUGUGUGUGAAUAUGGGUGUGUGUGUGAAUGUGUGGGUGUGAAUGUGUGUGUGAGUGUGUGUGAGUGUGUGUGAGUGUGUGAGUGUGUGUGAAUGUGUGUGAGUGUGUGUGUCUGCAUGUGUGUGUGAAUAUGGGGGUGUGUGUGCGUGUGUGUGAAUGUGUGUGUAUUGUGUGUGAGUAUGUGUAUAUGUGUGUGUGUGAGUGUGUGUGUGAAUGUGUGUGUGUGAGUGUGUGUAUGUGUGAGAGUGUGUGUGUGUGUGCAUGCAUGUUGUAUACACAUCUGUAGAGAUAUGCACGCAUGUGUAACAUUGGAUCUUCAACAUGUUUGAAUUUGGUAGAUGCUGUCACUGUCCCUGCUCCUUCUGAGAGGAGGAAAUAAAGGUUUAAAGAAAUUAAGUAGCUCAUCCAAGGUCACAAAGAGAGGAGAGUAAGUCUGGACCAUCUUGACUGCAAAGCCUACUCUAUUUGUUUAUCCUUAUUUUCUACUGCACCUUGAGCCACCAGAACAUUUACAUGUUAAAAUAUGUUAAUCCAAAGUUUAUCUGCACUACAGGGAUUUCAGAAUUCCAAUGAGUUCCUUAAAAAAUGCCACCAAUACAGUGAAAAGGAACAGCCACUACAGUAGUGGUGUUUUCAGGUCUUCCGUACAAAAUGCCCAGGGGCAGACUUGAUAAUGGGAAAACAUUGAUUGAGAGUUUAAAAGGUGAUGGACUUCAGCACCGAUAACAGCCAAAUUCAUAUCUCUGCGGUUUCCCUCUCAUAUUUUUUAAUUCCCAUUUCCACAUUUGAAAAGCUGUUUUUUAGAAGCGAUGACAGCAGUAUUACAGAAUCAGCCCUAAUCACGGCUGUCAGCUCAGAUUAGCGCAAAGAAAAUUUCCUUCAGUCUCUUCUACACAUCUGUUCUAGCUUGACUUUUUUUUUUUUUAAAGAUAUGUGACUGGUGGGAUGUAGCACGGUGUAUAGUAUAUUCUCUUCUGUAUUUAGAGCAUUUUUCCAUGUUCUCUGUUGCCUAAUUCCCUGAAAGUUGUUCUACUAACACAGCAUAGUCACUCAGCUUUAAGCAGGCUCGAAGGAACCAGUGCAACUGAGGAUGCUUGCCUCAAGUGGAAGAGUCGCUGGGACUGAGACCCUCUUGGUUUUGUUGUUUUCAUAUUUUUGUAUGAUUUUCCUAUGUCCUUGUGCACCUCUGAGUUUUGGAGUUAUAGGUCUUAAUUGCAGUAUUAAGGUAAUACAAAUUGACCUUUUCUUUUUGGAGAAGGCUUCCAUUUUUGCCAGAAAAUGAUAUAAUCCUGUGCCACUUAUUACUAAUUUUUUUUUUUGGUUCUUUUUUUCGGAGCUGGGGACCGAACCCAGGGCCUUGCGCUUCCUAGGCAAGUGCUCUACCACUGAGCUAAAUCCCCAACCCCUACUUAUUACUAUUUUACAGCACACUCGUAUGUGUGUAUAUGUGUGAGCAUGAUCUGGCCUCAUUUAUUACUAAUUGCAACAUUUGUGUGUAUGUGCACACAUGCACGUGGGCACACCUCACACACUAAUCUUUGACCGAGCACCAGGUUUUUAGACUGUUUGCUUUUAUAUUUUCCAAGGGGAUUUUCCUAGAUAUUUUAAAAACACACACAUUUAUUCGCUUGUUUCCAUUCCUGACUGUUGGCAUGGAAUUGAGCUCGAUUCAGAAUUUCUAGUAAAGAAGAUGAUUUGUAAAAUCGUCACCCGGAUCUUCUCUAAAUCUCUGACAGAGAGCAUUGUCUUGUGCACAGCUGUGGCCAUCAUUCCUCUCUUCUUUAGCAUCUUGAGAAGAAUAGAAACGGUGGGGAUGGUGCUUUUAGUGAUUUGCCUAUAGGCAUAUCUAGUGGCGACCGAUAAUGGGCAAGUAUUGAUUUGUAAGUUGAAACUCAUCAGGAUCCAUAACAGCCACUUCUAUAGCCUAAAACCUUCUACAAAGUCUUUGGCUUCUGGCCAACUCUUGCUCUUUCUAAAAGUCAAUCAUAAAAACAUGAAAAAUACAGGGAUUUAUACUGACACUUAAACAGUCUCAAAUUCCACUCCAAAUCAUCCCAGAGAUUUGAAAUUUUGUUUUACAAUUCAGAAUGGGGCUAUAUACUUUCAUUUUCCCAUAGCCUAAGGUGAAGUAAAAACCUGUGAAAUUUUCUGGGUCUUUUGAUAAAUGUUUCUGAGUCUUUUCUCCUUUGUAUGUAGUCUGAUAACAAUUUCUACUUUUAAAAUUAUUAUAAAGAUAAUAAAGUAGAUAUUGUAAAGAAUGAGGAAAUAUAUUUUUUUAAUUUGAUUUAUUUAUUUAUUUUGGUUGAGCUAAGAAAGAAAUUUUUGUGUUCGUUAGGACCCAGCCUUCUGUACUUUAUAAUGAUUGGCAUCAGUAUUUUUCCAGUAUAUGGAUCGUUUACAUAAGAUCACUUGUGGUGCAUGGUAAAAAUAAUAAUAAAAUCCAAUGACCAGGGGAUGGUGCCCAGAGAGUACAUGUUUAACAACAUCAGCCCAAGGGGAUCCCUUCCCCUAAAGUCUGUGAGGCAUUUACUUACCUUGGAUGUACUGAGUGUAAAUCACAGUUUGCCUUCGAGGUGACAAUGUCAUCAGUCUGCAACCUUGUUCAAUGAAGCUUCCAUGAAAUUGAUGGGGAAAGAGAAAUGGAGGUUUCUCACCCGGUGUUACACAGGCAACAAGGGGCAGGAUCUAGGCCCUCGUUUUAGGUGUCCACUCCAGUUAGCCAUGCGAUAGUGCAGUAUGUUUCUUCCCAGGGGAGAAACGGGAUUUUAGCCGUAGCUAGUUUCAGACAGGCGUUCGAAUCUACAAACUAGUCUCUGGAAAAUGGUUAUUUUCAAAUAGUUGAGUUAUUUUAUCUGGACUGUGCUCAAGGGGGCAGCUCAGAGAACAAUUGGAGUCAGAAGACACUGAAACUGGAGUAAAUUGGGAGACCAAUGCCGUUUCUGUCAUAUCAGUGGCGUAGCCAAGAUUAGCCUUAACAAAACCACACAAAUUACCUUUUACAAGGCAUCUGGAAUGAAAUAGUUCCCACAAAUACAGCAUUGUGAAUUUCAUAAAAAAUGUUUGUUUGUUUUUUUUUAGUUUUUACCUGUUGAAUUUUAACAUUAAUCAAAUUAACACGUCAAGUUCCUACAAUAGGAAUUGUUUUGUGAACUCUAUAAAACAGAACCACGUUGCAAUUUAUCUUCUUGUCCUUGGAAUUUAAUUUUUGUUGAUUGUUUAGACUCAUUUAAAAUGCUUGUUUAUUUAACAAAUUUGGGUAAACGAUAGAUUUUUUCCUUUGAAAAUAUUUUUAUAUGUGUACUUAACACUUUAUUUACUAUGUAAUAUGACAGUAUUUAUUUUUAGAUGAACACACUCACUUGGUCAUUGUCUUAGGGUUUUACUGCUGUGAGGUACCAUGACCAAGGCUACUCUUUCUUUUUUAAACAUUUAUUUUAUUUAUAUGAUGUACUGUUGCUAUCUUCAGACACACCAGAAGAGGGCAUCGGAUCCCAUUACAAAUGGUUGUGAGCCACCAUGUGGGUGCUGGGAAUUGAACUCAGGACCUCUGGAAGAGCAGUCAGUGCUCUUAACCGCUGAGCCAUCUCUCCAGCCCCCAAGGCUACACUUAUAAGGACAACAUUUAAUAGGGGCUGGCUUAUGGGUUCAGAGGUUCAGUCCAUUAUCAUCACGGUUGGACAUGGCAGCAUCCAGGCAGGCAUGGAGUUGCCGAGAGUUCUACAUCUUCAUCUGGAGGCUGCUAGGCGAAAGCUAGGGAGUUAGGAUGAGGGUCUUAAAGCCUAUGCCCACAGUGACACAUCUACUCCAAAAUGGCCACACACACUCCAACAAGGCCACCCCUCCUAAUAUGCCACUCCCUAGGCCACGCAUAUUCAAAUCAUCACAGUCAUCCUAAGUAUUUUUGUCUAUUUCUGCUUCCCAUUUUACACAUGUUAAGCACAGAAUGGGUAGGUGACUUCUCUUGCCCAAGCUCUAAUUGUAAUGACAUCAUAAUGGGGAUUAGGAAGCCUCACUAGGAAAUACAUCUGCAUUGCUCAUCUCCGUGAUUUCAUUUAAGUAUGCACUGGAUCUUCACAGCUCUGCCAAAUAUGAUAGGAACGACCUCUAAAUACGGAGGAGGACUUGUUAAUUUAAUUUUUUUGUUAUGUUGGAGUUGGGAAUAUAGCACAGUAGUAGAAUUUGUGUCUGUUGUACUCAAGGACCUGGAUAUGACCUCCAGUACUACAACUCAAAAAAAAAAAAAAGUGUCCCUUUAUGUGCCCUGGAUGCCAUUACGGUGCCGCUCCCAUCCAAACAGUGACUCAGCAGUUGACUUCUUGCCUCCUGUAGCUGCCAGCUGGAACAAGUCUCCUCCAGGAUAUGAAGGAGAAUGUGUGGGGGUCAAAGACUUGUGCUGGGAGACCACAUUUUGAUGAUCAACAGCUACAAGGGAAAGUGAGCAGUCAGUUCCUUUAAAGCCUGUGAAGAGCACACGAAGCAGAACUGACCCGGAAACCAGUACUCUUUGACCUUGUCGCACUGUUAACGGUGGUCUUGUAACACAUAGCCCAAUUUUACCUGGACUUGAGUGACCGUGUGGAAACUAAUCAGUUCCAUCACCCUCAGACUUGCAGUUCACGAAGCCCUCACUGAACUGGUUUCCAGUCAGCCGAGGCGAGGAGGAGGAGAUCUGCCCAAACUAUUUGGGUUGUUUAAAUAAAACAAUCAGCUGGUAGACAUCAUGGAUACACAGAUGAAGAGAUAUUCCACAGCCAACUCCAUCCCCAAAACACAUUGGGCAGACACAAAAAUCCUGGAAAGAUACUGUGUUCUUGGUGCCCAGAAGUCUAGCGUGCACAGGUUUUGACAAAAUGGUGGAGAAAAUAAACCACAGACACACAAUGCUUUCCAGGAAAGGGGCUCAUUUUCAGAAAACCAAGCUGGAAAAUUCCAAGGAAUUGGGCAAGCUACCCUGUCACACCACUGGGCUGAACUGCCCCAUCCACAGUUACGACAGUCAAGUGCACAGGUGCGUGGGAGAUCCGUGGCCAGCAAGGUCUUCCCAAGGAGGGAAGGAAGCUGUAUGUGUCAGGGUAUCUGUCAGAGUCUGCAGAACAGUUGUCUUGAGAUUGCCAACACGAUGUGGGUCACCAAAAAUGUGGCUUCACAGCACACACCUGGUGUGUUAGCAAGAAGCAUCUGUAGGAAAAUAUUAGUUUUGUUUGAAAAUAUUAAAAGAUAGAAUGGCUAUGUUUCAUGUCACUUUAUUCAAAAAUAAAAUUUAAAAGCUCUCCCUCCCUCCCUCCCUCCCUCCCUCCCUCCCUCCCUCCCUCCCUCCCUCUCUCCCUCCCUCCCUCCCUCCCUCUCUCAUGUUGAGACAGGGUUUCUCUCUCUACUCCUGACCAUCUUGGAGCUCACUCUGUAGACCAGGCUGGUCUCAAACUCACAGAGAUCUUCUUGCUUCUACCUCCUGCGUGCUGAAAUCCAAGGCAUGCCCCACCACAUGUACAGCAAAUGUUCUUCUCUUACCAGAUAAAAUAAAAGUGUGUGACACACUGACACAGUUUCUAUAUUUAAUAUUAAAUAUUUCUAUAUUUAAGUUGAGUGAUGCGUGAGCUUUGAGUACCACAGGCAUUGGAAGCUCUGUGAGGUGUAUUGUUCCGUUCUCUUGCUUUUACUAGUGAGCAAAUUCUGUUCUGUGUCCCAUGAUGCCCUGCUGCUGGAGUUACAUAAAUGCUGAGCCAGUUACGUGUUGAUUUGAACCUUGACCUGACUGUGCUUAUAAUGCCAAUAUGUAGUGUGGCACAUACCUCAACUACAGGGUGCAAAAGUAUGAUGAAUAAGGAAACAGUAUGCUCUUGGCUUAUUUCCAUAACUGUUAUGGUUUACCAUAGGAAGGCAUCUGCACUGUUCUUCUAUGGAGCUACACCGAAAGGCCUGCUCACAUAUGCACACCCAUCGACAUAUUGCUUAGGUCAAUUUAAUUAGGUUCAGCAGAGGAGAACAUGCACCACUCUAAAUAUUUACUCUCUUUAUGAAGUUCUGUGAGGGUUGAGACAGACAUCAAUCAUAAAGACUCUCAUCCGGAAGUCUCUUGCAAAACCAGGUUUUAAAGUGAUUCAACUUAUGAGAUAUCAUAGUGAGGGGUGAGAACUAAACGAAAGGAUGUUAGAAAUAUUUAACAACCAAUUUUCUGAAAAUAAGAUAUGGAGAAUUCGUACUUACAGUAUAUAUCGAUUUUAACUAAUUAAAAAACUAUGCAGUAUACCACAAGUGAUUAAAUAUUCCCGACUUUGAGUAUAAUUAUAAAUUCCACAGUUGUAAUACUUUUAUUGUUUUUUUAUUUUUGCCAAACAUUUGUACUGCCAGUCAAACUAUGACUAUAGUUAAUCAGCCGCUGUAACGGAUUCAUUGCUAUUUCUAAUCAGUAAAUAAAGCAAAGGUAUAUCGUAGAACGCCAUUCACUUCUCAGUCAUUUGAGUAGCACCCUCGCCGAUGAUGUAAUGGUUUGAAAACACUCAAUGUAACUGGUAAUCUUUAAUCACCAUGGAAACACUUCUCUGGGUUUGUCUGUGAGGAUAUUUCCAGAAAGGUUUAGCUGAGGAGGGAAAACCCUUUCUGAAUACAGGGACAUUUCAUCUCACUGUCCUAGAAUAGAAAGGAGAAAGAAAGCUGAACCCUAGAGUCCAUAUCUCUCUGCAUCUUGACUGCCCAUGCACUGUGUCCAGCUGCUUUAUACUCUGGCCCCGGUGGAUGUAGCCUCCAUGAUGGACUGUGCCCUCAAGCUGGGAGGCAGAGUCAAUCCUUCCCUCCUUACGUUGCUUUUAUCAAGUAUUUUUUUUUUUUUUGGUCACAGCCAUGAGAAGAAUAAUAUACCAGAAGGACACUGCAGGUCUAAAUAGCAAGUCAAGCUUAUUUCCCAGUCCUCUCUGAUUGCAAAUGUGUCAAUAUUUCCACCCUGGAUGACUUCCAGCCAUCAAUGUGUGAUGUCACUGGGCCUGAGGAGAGAGGGUCACCAGUCCGGCCUGAGGAGAGAGGGCCACCAGUCCACCGUUAGGUAUUCUCAUCAUAACGACAGACAUGAUAAACAUCAGUGACAUGUGAUAAAGCAUAAAGAAGUAAUGGGUCUACGUUUUUAUUGCCUUGUUUUAAUCUAUGUAAUAGGAGUUUAAAUCAUCUAUGUUUUAAAUACAAAUUGCAUUCUCAGUUGGCUCUUGGAAACCCUGAAAAUCAAGCAAGUCCCUGAGCUGGUGGCUCAUGCAGGCUCCUGCCUACCACUGGAGUGGGGAUAAGACUUUUUUCUUUUUUUUUUAAUCAAAUGUAGCCUUUAACACUUUUGAUUUUGCCCUAACAACAUUUCCUUAACAUUUAAAGUCUUCUAAAUUUCCAAUAGAUUUCUUUAACUUUUAAAUCUUGGGACUUCAACACCAGACCAGCAACAUCCAGUUCAGUAGACUGAACAACUACUGGAUUCUUGGUCUUUCCACUGGGAGACAGCCAUUGUUGGACUUCUGAUACGACAGCCUGUAGGCCAAUUCCCAUAUAGUAUGUAUUAAUAGUUAUUCUAUCAGAUCCUUUGAGAUACUAAAUAUGCCCAAGGAUAAGAUAAUUUCCAUAGGCUUUUAAAUCUCUAUCUGUCGAUCUAUCUAUCUAUCUAUCUAUCUAUCUAUCUAUCUAUCUAUCUAUCUAUCAUCUAUCUAUCUAUUUUUUAAGCAGGGUUUCUUUGUGUAGCCAUGGUUGGCUUAGAAAUUGCUAUGUAGACCAGGCUGGUCUUGAACUCACCUGCUUUUGUUCCCAUAACUGGCUGCUGGGCUUGAAGACAGCCCCCAGCUCCCAUCGAUGUUUCAUGGUUGUUUUUCAAGGUGGUUUUCCACUUUCACCAGGUGUCAGUCAGAAAAUCAUCUCAUCUCACUUUGCUAUGCCAGAGGUUACCUGCCCUAUUUUAGAUUUGGAGUGAAACCAAUUAUUGUUUAAUUUAUACCAAAAGUUUACUAGACCCUUUGAACUACACAGGGCCUGACUGUCCACACCUGAGACAGUCCUCUAUGUACCUGCCCAGAUGCUGGCUCUCAGGCAUGCUAACCUGACCUGACCUGACCUGAGACUUCUGACAUUGAUAGAAGUUCUGUUUUGCAAUGAAGAAUUUCCAGUGCUCUGGGCACCUUGGCAAAAGCUAUGAUGGAGUGACAUUAGGAGAAAGAAGGGAGGAAUGAAACUGUUCCUAGCAUUUUGUUCAACAUUGGCCCAAUCCAUGUCAGCUGAGGUCACCAUCCAUGGCACCUUUCAAGUGAGUUCUGACCCUUGUGACAGGGCAAGCAUUUCUGUGAUCUCACUUGCAGCCGCUAUACAGAGUUUUCUGUUGUCUUGAUUAAAGUUACUGGUUUUAAGUUCUCUUUCCUCAGAGUCACUUGCCUGAGAGCACAACGCUCCUGGAAAACAAGUAUAUUGUCUUAAAGCCCUUGCAGUCACAGGCAUAGCCUGUAGAUCAGGACUGUCUCAGUUAUAGCUCUCAGUAUGCCUGAAGCAUACUGAAUCCUCAACUAUCAUUCACUUCUGCAAUUGGAGACAAUGACUGUUCAUGUAUUCAGCCAAUAGAAACUGGAUAACGGCACGUCCCUAGGUAGGUUUAAGGACUGAGGUCAUUGGGACAACCAUCACAGCUCUGCAAGAAGUUUAUAUUCUGGUGGAGAAGCUAAAAAGUAAGUGGUAAUUAGGAUGCCUCGAGAAACUGUGCCAGGAGUGGGAACACACAGGCUGCCCGUUUCAGCCACCACCCCCUCGCACUGCUUCCCAGAAGCAAUGUUGAGAUGCCAUAAAAGGGUCUGAGAAAGUGGCAGUGUGUAGAUCCCCAUCUUCUCAGCUCUCUCUCCAACUGAGAAGUGAGAUGGGAGCUGAAAAGGUUCAGGACCAUAUCCAGGUAACAGUUCUCUCUCUUGCUUUCUGCACUAAUAGAAGAAGAUUGAUCUUCACCAGAGGAAAGCUGAGUUGCAGCUGCGGUGGGACACCUAUGAGUUGCAAGAGAGAACCAAGAACCCAGGAAGACUUUCUCUCUGGCAAUGGCCAGGUUGUGACUGAGAGGGGUCGCACAGUGUGCUAUAGGAAAUUGACUAUAUCUGUCUUGCUCCGUCUUCGAUGGCUCAUUAUAGUGAGUUCUGACUUCUUGUGACUCCUCUUUAUCUGCAGCAUGGAGUUCCUUAGUGCAAGGCACAGAGCUGGCCCUGUCCUCCUCUACAUGGCUCCUUAGUAGCAGGCUGGCACUCUUACCAAGCACCAUACACUCAGAGUGGUCUGUCUUUCUGUCUCCCUGUAUUUCUGUCUUUGCCUCUGUCUCUGUCUCUGUCUCUCUCUCUCUGCUUCUCUCUGUCUCUCUGACUCUCUGUCUCUGUUUCUCUCUCUCUCUCUCUCUCUCUCACACACACACACACACGAGAGAGAGAGAGAGAGAGAGAGAGAGAGAGAGAGAGAGAGAGAGAGAGAGAGGUGAAUAUAUUCUGUGUCUCCCCUCACUCUGGUAUCUCAGUGUUCUUCUUUCGUGGUAUUUUACCUUUGCUUACAGUCUUCCCUUGGAAUGUCCUGUCGUUAUCUCUCUCCCCUCCUCUAGGCAGCAGUUCCUUUUCAGUUCUUUCUGACAGGUUAAAUGCUCUCACUCUAAGGAUUGUGAAUCUAGUUUAAUCUUGCACUGAGCAUAUUACGUUGCAUGUGUAUUUCUGCAAGCCUCCCAGCUAUGUCUUCUCUAUAUUUGUAUCAACCUAAGCCGAGCGCAGUGCCUGGAUGGAAUUGCUACUCUAGAAGUAUUUGGUUAUAUAAAUGAAUCAAAGGAUCCUUAAUUGUCCCCUAAAUGAGGAACACUAGACAGUGUCUGUUUGGUUUCCAACUAGAGUCUGGAAGCAGUAGGUGCCUUCAUUUAACAUUUGGACACAGGAAUGUAGCAACCCAUAGCCUGCCAGGCUGUAUGCACCUGAAAGCCUUAGGAAAUCUUGUCACCCUGCAUUUUAUUAUGUGUCUACAAUCCAAGCUGAAUGGAGAGAAAUGAAUCCCGGCCAGUACUGAGCAUCAUGCCAGGAAUAGAACAGUGGGCUAUUGCAGUCAGCGAAACAAAAGGUUGCCAUGGUGUGGCCAGGCAGUGCUCCUGACCUCUGUUGGAACCACAUGCCUCCUUCCAGCAUCCCAGAAUCUGCUGCCACCCUUGCAUUCUGGAUGUAGUUUAUCCCUUCAGACUUGCCCCUGUGGAAGGUUGCUGGCCCUCAGAGUCCCUUGGCAGAAUAGUGAACAAGAUCUCAGCUCCUUCUGGAUGUUCAAAUACCACAUGACACGUAGUGUGUCAGCUAGGUGACAGAAUGAGAGAGCGAGCCACUCUUGUAGCCUCGCUCCUCAGGACUCUGUCCUCUUUCUCUAAACUCAAGCUAGUUUGAUCCCACUUAGCACUUGACAGAGGAGAGGGUAGGAAGGGUUAACUGAAUAAAACCCUGUUUUCUUGUCGAGAUGUUGGUCUGAGGGUUUCCAUGAGAUGGAUGAGCGGGACCACAAGGCAGGAGAAAACACAAUGCAUCCUCAGUGCCUUUUUAGUGAUUUCUAGACCUAAGGGAAGGGAGAGGGUCUCAUAUGAUCUGCAAUGAAAAGGUCAUUUCUGGAAUUUGGAUGUUUUCCAGCUAAGUACAUUCAGGGUGUCGUUGCUGGCACUGCAAGCUCGAGCCAGCAGCCUCCACACUGUGGUUUAACGCAGGGAGUGGCUGAGAAUAUUUUUGUCAGAGGAAUGGUUUCUCUGCUUAGCCUCAAUAUUUCAUAAAAAGCUCAUUGCAGCAAAUUUUUUCAUUUGGCAGCAUCUGCUGUGCUAUCAUCUUGGAAUCUUCAUAACAAGAGACGCUGUCACUUCAAGGUCAAAUGAAGGUCUACUGACAAGGAGCCGUUCAUUCUCUUACCAUUAACUCUAUAUUAAAAAAAAACAAAACAUACAUUUCCCCCCAUAAGAAUGCAGGCAAAAGACACAACCAGCAGUGCUUUUUAGGAGGAAUAAAAAAGAGUUAGUCCUCCUGAAAUUGAAGAGAAAAUAAAAAAGUCCAAUUUUAGGAUCAGAGUGGGAUGAUAGGAAAACUGAAACUGACACUGCCAUUUUGGACAAAGUAUUUGCAUGGUAAGUCUGUUUCUUGGGAGAAUGAGCUAUGCUACUGUUGUCUGUCUGUCUGUCUGUCUGUCUGCCUCAUAUAAUGCUAAGGAUACUUAGUAAAGGAUAGAUGGAAGUCUAUCAGGGACUCAAGGAAGGAGCUGCAGCAGAGACAAUGGAGGAUUGCUGCUUACUGGAUUGCUCCAUGUAGCUUGCCCAGACUGCUUUCUUGUACAGCCCAGGAGUCACUGACCAGCAGGGGUGGUGCUACCCAUAGUGGACUGGGCCCUCCCUCGCUCAUAAUCAUCCAUCAAGAAAAUGACCCACCUAAAGGUUAACUUAAGAUGGAAAUCAUGGAUUUUUAUAAGAUUAGAAAAAGAGUCCACUGCAUUCAGGGACUAGGUUAAUAGGAACUAGCCCCUUUCCAUUUCCGGUUGAAGGCACUGGGUGCUACAACAAUCAAGGGUUUUUUUUUUUCCUAGGGUUCAUUCACAACGCUCUCUACUCUAAUAGACAGGGCAUGACGUGGGCUGUGCCUUUCCCAAUAGCCAACCAUGAAAUAGCUUAGAAAGACCUACUUCUAAGCACUCUUGAAAGCAAGGUACUGUUGAAAUUUAUGAGUGCUUGAUUCUGGAAGUCUGCUUAUAGCAUUGAACACAGGAAAAGGUCAUGACAUUAUUCAAUCAGUGUUUCUAUGAAGGAACACCAAAAAAGAACAGCCAUAGAUUAUGUUACGGGAAGGACAGAAAAUGAAUUAUGAGGGGAGACAACAUGUUGCCUGGGAUAUUGGCUUUGCCCGGAGUGGUUUGGGCACGCUCACUGACAGUAAUUAGGAACAAUGAGGAACAGUCAGUUAAAGUCUUUUGAACUCUGCCUGUACAUGUUGCUGAUGGUACACUAGAGUUUGCAAUACAGACUUUUGUUUGCUCCCCACAGCCCGAGCAGUUUUGCCAAAGUCAUUAUUUGUAAUUGCUUCGUCUCAAGCACCCCAAUGAAAGGACAUCUUCAGAAGCAUCCUCUGCUGGUCUUCUUAACAUAGGAUCAACCUCAUUCUAAAAAACAGACUCACCUCUGGUCUCACAGUUUAUAGAAUUCACAUAAGUGAAUGGCCCUUCAUGAAUGGGUCUAGCUGUUGACAAGUUGGAUGUGAAGUUAACAAUCACCAUGAAAACGAGAGGCCACAUACAUGUGUAUCUAUAGACCACAAUACUUUCUCUGAUCUUGGGAUAUGAAGAAGGUAAAGGCUGGAAAAGUUCAAAUCGGUUCUACAUCACCCCUCGUCCCCUGUGAAAUCUGUUUAAAUGAUUUGUUCAUAUUUUAUAUGGGCAAACUUUAAUGGGGUUGGGUUUGGGAGGAAUAGAAGUUUUGUUAUUGGUAAAACCUCAUCACCUUUCUACUACCUUUCUUAGCAGGCUUGCCUUAAGGCUUAUGUUCUGUGAUUUGGACCAAUCAUGUUCUCUCAGUCUAACAUGAGAUAGCUGGGUUGGGUGGGCUAUGAGGUAGGGAAAGCGAAGAUGAGGUAUGUACAUGAUCUUUGGUUCAAGUCUUUUUGGUUCAUGAUUUUUGUUUCAAGGAAAGUUGAUUUUGCUGUGGUGCACACUUUUGAUCCUAGCACUCGAUCCUAGCAAGUGGAUAUCUAAGUUCCGAAAAACUUUUUUUGUUGUUGUUGAAAAGUUGGGGGUCAUUUGAUACUUUAAAGGUUAGCAAGCUGGAAGUCAUAAGGAAAAUUUGCUUCACUGCUUGUUUUAAAUAAAGUUUUAUUAGAAUACAGUCAGGGAAAUUCAUUACAUCUUGAGUGCCCAUGCUUUUGUACUAAGACAGUAGAGCAACUCUAAGGCCUGCAAGCUACAUUUGCUGCCCUUUCCUGCACGAAAUGUCUUGACCCUAAUGCAGCUUUCCAUAAGUGCUGGUUCUUAGGAUUUUGCUGUGAUCUUUGGUGAUGUGCACAGUUCAUGGUUACUCUAGACAUGAAGUUUUUGUUUGUUUUCUCUUUUCUUUCUUCUUUUUUCCCUUUUCCUGAUUAUUAUCUGUUUGUUCUUCUAUUAGUUAUCUUCCCUGACCCCCACUUAUUUUAUCCACUUCAUUUCUUCUCUGCUUUUGAGACUCUGACUAAAUCCACCUUGUAGCCUCUCAUUUCAUUCUCCAUUGCUUUGGGCUCUCUCUGCGUUGUCUACUGUUGAGGGUCCUCAUCUGGAUUCCAAUAGGUAUCCCUUUCAGUUCCGUAUCCUUUUAAAAACAUUUUUAGUUUUUAUUAAUCAUUUCAUUUGUUUACACCUCAAAUGAUAUCUCACUUUCCUGUUACCCCCUCUACCAACCUCCCCA